CAGAAUUUUGAAUAAUUUAAAAAGGACAAAAGGGAAACUUUACAUUUUUGUACUUAGAAUAAUUAAAUAAAAAACCAAAAAUAAUAAAAUCUACCCCACUACACCCCAAUCUGAUGAAAAAAAAAAGGUAGAAGAUCGUCACUUUCUUCUUCCCUAACUCCGACCCACACUGGUCUUCACCGGAACCCACUUCGUCAAUCGUCAUCGACACCUACAUCGCUAGCAUUGCUUCCUAGAUAUAGUUGGGUAGAUUAUAAAAGUAGAAAUGUCAAUGUGCAGAAUAUGAAGUCAAAAUUGGAGCAAUUUGUGGCACAAAUGGAUCAAUUGAGGGUAUACCCAUCAUUGUUCGGUGUUGCUGAGGAAUUGUGGGUUGAAUUUGGUGGAAAAUGGGCUCUAAUUUCGCCAGUUGGAAAAGGCAAAAUUUUCCCAGUUAGCAAGCAAUUUAGGGCAGAAUUACCGUCUAAUUUUUGGUCAGUUAGGGGCAUCAGUUGAAGCAAUUGAGGAAACAUUAGUGGUCGUAUGAUGCUGCUAAUCGAUUGGCAACAAUGCCCGACUCUAUGUGUCACCGGAGUCGCCCGAUUUUGAAUUUGGACCGCCCAAUUCUCAUGGCUUUAAGGGUUGAUUUUGAUAUCCAUAUUAUUUUCCUUUUCCAUUUAAUUGUGUGAGAUGUCUUUGUGGAAUGUGGUAAUCGGCUAAGGGAUAAAAUUCCGACGGAUUGAGUGGCCAACGAUUGCCUGUGUUUUUUCUGAUUUUUAGGUAGGGUAGGUGGGAGAUAAGGAUUUAUUAUAAUUAUUUUUUGAUUUCUCAAUUUAAUUUUUAACUUAUUUUAGGGAUAACAUGUAAAUUACCA
rnacentral:lncRNA from 1 species